rnacentral:rRNA from 1 species
CUCGAGUGGCGAACGGGUGAGUAACACGUGGGUGAUCUGCCCUGCACUCUGGGAUAAGCCUGGGAAACUGGGUCUAAUACCGGAUAGGACCGCACUUUAGUGUGUGUGGUGGAAAGUUUUUUCGGUGUAGGAUGAGCCCGCGGCCUAUCAGCUUGUUGGUGGGGUAAUGGCCUACCAAGGCGGCGACGGGUAGCCGGACUGAGAGGUUGGUCGGCCACAUUGGGACUGAGAUACGGCCCAGACUCCUACGGGAGGCAGCAGUGGGGAAUAUUGCACAAUGGGCGCAAGCCUGAUGCAGCGACGCCGCGUGGGGGAUGACGGCCUUCGGGUUGUAAACUCCUUUCGCCAGGGACGAAGCGUUUUGUGACGGUACCUGGAGAAGAAGCACCGGCUAACUACGUGCCAGCAGCCGCGGUAAUACGUAGGGUGCAAGCGUUGUCCGGAAUUACUGGGCGUAAAGAGCUCGUAGGUGGUUUGUCACGUCGUCUGUGAAAUUCCACAGCUUAACUGUGGGCGUGCAGGCGAUACGGGCUGACUUGAGUACUGUAGGGGUAACUGGAAUUCCUGGUGUAGCGGUGAAAUGCGCAGAUAUCAGGAGGAACACCGAUGGCGAAGGCAGGUUACUGGGCAGUUACUGACGCUGAGGAGCGAAAGCAUGGGUAGCAAACAGGAUUAGAUACCCUGGUAGUCCAUGCCGUAAACGGUGGGCGCUAGGUGUAGGGGCCUUUUGGGGUUUCUGUGCCGUAGCUAACGCAUUAAGCG